rnacentral:rRNA from 1 species
UACAGAGGUCUCAAGCGUUGUUCGGAUUCAUUGGGCGUAAAGGGUGCGUAGGCGGCGCGGUAAGUCGGGUGUGAAAUCUUGGAGCUUAACUCCGAAACUGCAUUCGAUACUGCCGUGCUUGAGGACUGGAGAGGAGACUGGAAUUUACGGUGUAGCGGUGAAAUGCGUAGAUAUCGUAAGGAAGACCAGUGGCGAAGGCGGGUCACUGGGUCUCAACUGACGCUGAUGCACGAAAGCUAGGGUAGCGAACGGG